GUGAAAACCGACAGAGCCUGUUGCUCUCCAGGACCAGGGUUGGAGACCACUGGUGUAGAGCUUGCAGACGGGGGGCCUACACAUACUUCCAGUUCUGAAACCACAACUUCCUUCAUCCUCCUAGUAUCAGGACCUGUCAAGGAAGGCUGGGCCUCUCGUACGCGUCUCCUUGUCCCCGGUCACGCCUUCACGCACUGCAUCUAAGACAUCAUCUGAAAAAUUAUUAUAAGGGAGUUGCCAAUGGGAGAAGAAAUGAUGCUGCACACAACUCAAAUGCGGCGGAUGAAAAUGAUGCCACUUAUCAAUUUUCUCUUCAUACACGUCCCUGUUUUUUUCGGGGAUAGUCAACAUCAUGGUGAGUGAUUACCCCUACAGAGCAACAAAACGAGGAAAUAUAUGCACCGACAGGAAAUUUGCAACCGCUACAAAAAAAAAAAAAAAAAACGGUGCAUGCUGGGGGAAGGAAAUGUCAGAAGAUGGAGAGACAGUUUAUAACCAUCAAUUACCUUCAAUUUUAUAGGCAC